rnacentral:rRNA from 1 species
UACGUAGGGUGCAAGCGUUGUCCGGAAUUAUUGGGCGUAAAGAGCUCGUAGGCGGUCUGUCGCGUCUGCUGUGAAAACUCGGGGCUUAACCCCGGGCCUGCAGUGGGUACGGGCAGACUAGAGUGCGGUAGGGGAGACUGGAAUUCCUGGUGUAGCGGUGAAAUUCGUAGAUAUCGGGAGGAACACCAGUGGCGAAGGCGGCGACCUGGGCCAAUACUGACGCUGAGGUGCGAAAGCGUGGGGAGCAAACAGG